rnacentral:snRNA from 1 species
AUUCUUAUCUGGUGCCGGGGCCUCGCUGAUCACCGAGGACAAGCCCCAGGGCGAGGCGUGGGCACUGCACUGCGCUCGCGUUGACCCCUGAGACUACCCGGACUGGGGCACAUGGGGCAUGAAAAUUGAU